UACGUAGGGUGCGAGCGUUGUCCGGAAUUAUUGGGCGUAAGGAGCUUGUAGGCGGUUUGUCGCGUCUGCUGUGAAAAUCCGGGGCUCAACCCCGGACUUGCAGUGGGUACGGGCAGGCUAGAGUGUGGUAGGGGAGACUGGAAUUCCUGGUGUAGCGGUGGAAUGCGCAGAUAUCAGGAGGAACACCGAUGGCGAAGGCAGGUCUCUGGGCCACUACUGACGCUGAGAAGCGAAAGCAUGGGGAGCGAACAGG
rnacentral:rRNA from 1 species